UACGUAGGGUGCGAGCGUUGUCCGGAAUUAUUGGGCGUAAAGAGCUUGUAGGCGGUCUGUCGCGUCUGCUGUGAAAAUCCGGGGCUCAACCCCGGACUUGCAGUGGGUACGGGCAGACUAGAGUGUGGUAGGGGAGACUGGAGUUCCUGGUGUAGCGGUGAAAUGCGCAGAUAUCAGGAAGAACACCCGUGGCGAAGGCGGCUCUCUGGGACGGUACUGACGCUGAGACGCGAAAGCGUGGGGAGCAAACAGG
rnacentral:rRNA from 1 species